GAGAUUAGGGUCAGCGAGUUGUGAGGGCGCAGAGGCAACAGCGGCCGUGUAGUAAGGAGGAGAGUGGGGAUUGUAACGUGCAGCCUCCUCCUCCAGGUUGCUCCAAUCUACUUCGCCCGCCUCAGGAUCCUCCCCUUUUGCGAUACUGGUUGCAAAGGUUGCAAAGCAACUCUGAUUUCGCUUCUGGAGUUAAGCAGUGGAAAAACUCCGCCCUCUUCUUCAGAGGAUCAAGGAGGGUUUGUAGCUACAGAAGUAAGCUUGCUCAGAGAGGGAUAAAUUUUGUUUUUCUUUUUUAUUUUGGGCCGGUCGGGAGAGGCCCUUUCAUUUUUUCCUAAGGGUUCUUUUAGUUCUUCUUUGGAUGGAUCAUCCUCCGCAUCACUGUGAAACGGAAUUAAGUCCUCACAGCGAUCAUUGGGGGAUGGGGCCCCUGCAGUGCUGGGAGAAGCACUUCUAAGCAGUUGUUCUGUUUGGCAAAUGGUAUUUUUAAUAUCAGGGUAGGCUUCCUUUUUUGAAAUUAAAUCAUUAAUUAGAUUCCAGUAUGAGAAUGCUGUCACCGGAAUUUUUUCGGGGCCAAAAGCUUCAUAGAAAUCAUUUAAAGCAUCUCCUACCAGUUUCCACCUUUUUUGAUCUAUUGUGCCCUCUUGAGGGAACCAAGGACACAGGUCUUGAACAAAAUCAAAAAAGUGGAGUAGAUCCUUUUUUGUGACCCUGACUCCUCGCGUCCUAAGUGCCACUUUUAAUUGCUUCACAUAUAUCUCAUGCUGGCUUAUUUCCUGUCCCAUGAUUCAGACGCUGUACCUGAGCUUACCUUAUCCACUACGCGGCAGGGUCCCACGUCGCGCCUUCUCCAGGGUUAACAGGGCUCCCCUGUAGCUCAGGGGACAGGCCGGGAACCCAGCCAAUUUGCUGAUUGGAAGCCAACAGUCACCAGGGGACUUGAAGGGACACUAGAAUCUGCUCCUGCAUGUGCGGUUCCAGAGCAACAGGAGAGCCCAGCAGGCCUGCUGGGUCAGACAGAAAAUGCCCAAGGUGAUCCUGUGGGCUCUGGGGUCACCAAAUACAUCAAGCCCAUGGAGGAGCUGCCCGAGGGAUAAUAGGGUGGUCCCCAGGCAAAGGGGAAGUUCCAGGUUCCCUGCCCUACCCGGAGGAGGGUGGAGCUAAGCAGGGAGAGAAGAAGUUGCAGAGGAGACUGAGAAAGGAAGCCGGAUGGAGCCAGAAGGAGACCUGGAGGAGGCGCAUGGAGCCAAGAAACACAUGAAGAAACUAUCCUUGCCUUUUGGUCGUGGACUGGGUGACACGGAUGUGGGGCAGCAGCUUCCUGCCCGCCUGUGACCUGUCAAGUCCGCCCACCAGCCACCAUGCAGGCCUCGCUUAGCAAAACCUGCCCCUUUCCCUAAUAAA